AACAAACGCUGGCGGCGUGCCUAAUACAUGCAAGUCGAACGGGGAAAGCUUUCGGGUGAGUACUAGUGGCGCACGGGUGAGUAACGCGUGGAUAGUCAGCCUUAGAGUGGGGGAUAACUAGUCGAAAGAUUAGCUAAUACCGCAUAAGACCACAGGAGCUGCGGCUCAAGGGGUCAAAGGUUUUUCGCUUUAAGAUGAGUCCGCGUAAGAUUAGCUAGUUGGUGAGGUAACGGCUCACCAAGGCGACGAUCUUUAACUGGUCUGAGAGGAUGAUCAGUCACACUGGAACUGAGACACGGUCCAGACUCCUACGGGAGGCAGCAGUAGGGAAUAUUGCACAAUGGAGGAGACUCUGAUGCAGCGACGCCGCGUGAGUGAUGAAGGCCUUCGGGUCGUAAAGCUCUGUCGCAGGGGAAUAACACAAUGAAGGUACCCUGUAAGAAAGGAUCGGCUAACUUCGUGCCAGCCGCCGCCGUAACAC
rnacentral:rRNA from 1 species